CUUUAGAAGAGUCCAGGAACCCAUGAGAUUCUUUGGUGACUACAAAUUCUGAUCUCCUUUAAAGGUCAUGAGAACUGUGAGAACCCCAUUAGAGCGAAAUGAAUUUUAAGGUGACCAACCAGCAGAACACACCUUCAGAAUCAGGCAGGGCUGUCAGGGAAGACAGAUCAAGAGCUCACACAAGGGACUGCAGCUUUGGCCUCACUCCUGUGUCAUUCAAAGAGAUCUGCCAGAUGCUUAGAGCGUGCUUGGAGGAAAAGGAUAAAGAAGCCCAGACAGUUUAAUAGUAAAAGACCCCUGUACACCCUGAUUGUAAGCAAAAGACUAUAGGUUUGUAUGAUAAAAUAUUACCACUUAAUUGUGGUCAUGGCCAGAAUUAAUCACA
rnacentral:lncRNA from 1 species